AGAGUUUGAUCCUGGCUCAGGACGAACGCUGGCGGCGCGCCUAACACAUGCAAGUCGAGCGAGAACCAGGGCUUCGGCCCCGGGGACAGCGGCGAACGGGUGAGUAACACGUGGAUAACCUGCCCUCGGCACCGGAAUAGCCCGGGGAAACCCGGAUUAAUGCCGGAUAGCCCCUUCCUCCUGCGGGAGGUCGGGAAAAGGUAGCUUCGGCCUCUGGCCGAGGAUGGGUCCGCGGCGGAUUAGCUAGUUGGCGGGGUAAUGGCCCACCAAGGCGACGAUCCGUAGCUGGUUUGAGAGGACGAUCAGCCACACUGGGACUGAGACACGGCCCAGACUCCUACGGGAGGCAGCAGUGGGGAAUCUUGCGCAAUGGGCGAAAGCCUGACGCAGCGACGCCGCGUGCGGGAAGAAGGCCUUCGGGUUGUAAACCGCUUUCAGGAGGGACGAAGCCACUCGGGUGAACAGCCCAGAGGGUGACGGUACCUCCAGAAGAAGCCCCGGCUAACUACGUGCCAGCAGCCGCGGUAAUACGUAGGGGGCAAGCGUUACUCGGAAUUACUGGGCGUAAAGGGUGUGUAGGCGGCUGGGCAAGUCGGAGAUGAAAUCCCGAGGCUUAACUUCGGAACUGUCUUCGAUACUGCUCAGCUUGAGGGCAGCGGAGGAGAAUGGAAUUCCCGGUGGAGCGGUGAAAUGCGUAGAU
rnacentral:rRNA from 1 species